GACGAACGCUGGCGGCGUGCUUAACACAUGCAAGUCGAACGGAAAGGCCCUGCUUUUGUGGGGUGCUCGAGUGGCGAACGGGUGAGUAACACGUGAGUAACCUGCCCUUGACUUUGGGAUAACUUCAGGAAAGUGGGGCUAAUACCGGAUAGGAGCUCCUGCUGCAUGGUGGGGGUUGGAAAGUUUCGGCGGUUGGGGAUGGACGCGCGGCUUAUCAGCUUGUUGGUGGGGUAGUGGCUUACCAAGGCAUUGACGGGUAGCCGGCCUGAGAGGGUGACCGGACACAUUAGGACUGCGAUACGACCCAGACUCCUACGGGAGGCAGCGGUGGGGAAUAUUGCACAGUGGGCGGAAGCCUGAUGCGGCAACGCCGCGUGCGGGAUGACGGCCUUCGGGUUGUAAACCGCUUUCGCCUGUGACGAAGCGUGAGUGACGGUAAUGGGUAAAGAAGCACCGGCUAACUACGUG
rnacentral:rRNA from 1 species